UCAUUUAAAGAAAGCGUAAUAGCUCACUGGUCGAGUCGGCCUGCGCGGAAGAUGUAACGGGGCUAAACCAUGCACCGAAGCUGCGGCAGCGACGCUUAUGCGUUGUUGGGUAGGGGAGCGUUCUGUAAGCCUGCGAAGGUGUGCUGUGAGGCAUGCUGGAGGUAUCAGAAGUGCGAAUGCUGACAUAAGUAACGAUAAAGCGGGUGAAAAGCCCGCUCGCCGGAAGACCAAGGGUUCCUGUCCAACGUUAAUCGGGGCAGGGUGAGUCGACCCCUAAGGCGAGGCCGAAAGGCGUAGUCGAUGGGAAACAGGUUAAUAUUCCUGUACUUGGUGUUACUGCGAAGGGGGGACGGAGAAGGCUAUGUUGGCCGGGCGACGGUUGUCCCGGUUUAAGCGUGUAGGCUGGUUUUCCAGGCAAAUCCGGAAAAUCAAGGCUGAGGCGUGAUGACGAGGCACUACGGUGCUGAAGCAACAAAUGCCCUGCUUCCAGGAAAAGCCUCUAAGCAUCAGGUAACAUCAAAUCGUACCCCAAACCGACACAGGUGGUCAGGUAGAGAAUACCAAGGCGCUUGAGAGAACUCGGGUGAAGGAACUAGGCAAAAUGGUGCCGUAACUUCGGGAGAAGGCACGCUGAUAUGUAGGUGAAGUCCCUCGCGGAUGGAGCUGAAAUCAGUCGAAGAUACCAGCUGGCUGCAACUGUUUAUUAAAAACACAGCACUGUGCAAACACGAAAGUGGACGUAUACGGUGUGACGCCUGCCCGGUGCCGGAAGGUUAAUUGAUGGGGUCAGCGCAAGCGAAGCUCUUGAUCGAAGCCCCGGUAAACGGCGGCCGUAACUAUAACGGUCCUAAGGUAGCGAAAUUCCUUGUCGGGUAAGUUCCGACCUGCACGAAUGGCGUAAUGAUGGCCAGGCUGUCUCCACCCGAGACUCAGUGAAAUUGAACUCGCUGUGAAGAUGCAGUGUACCCGCGGCAAGACGGAAAGACCCCGUGAACCUUUACUAUAGCUUGACACUGAACAUUGAGCCUUGAUGUGUAGGAUAGGUGGGAGGCUUUGAAGUGUGGACGCCAGUCUGCAUGGAGCCGACCUUGAAAUACCACCCUUUAAUGUUUGAUGUUCUAACGUUGACCCGUGAUCCGGGUUGCGGACAGUGUCUGGUGGGUAGUUUGACUGGGGCGGUCUCCUCCUAAAGAGUAACGGAGGAGCACGAAGGUUGGCUAAUCCUGGUCGGACAUCAGGAGGUUAGUGCAAUGGCAUAAGCCAGCUUGACUGCGAGCGUGACGGCGCGAGCAGGUGCGAAAGCAGGUCAUAGUGAUCCGGUGGUUCUGAAUGGAAGGGCCAUCGCUCAACGGAUAAAAGGUACUCCGGGGAUAACAGGCUGAUACCGCCCAAGAGUUCAUAUCGACGGCGGUGUUUGGCACCUCGAUGUCGGCUCAUCACAUCCUGGGGCUGAAGUAGGUCCCAAGGGUAUGGCUGUUCGCCAUUUAAAGUGGUACGCGAGCUGGGUUUAGAACGUCGUGAGACAGUUCGGUCCCUAUCUGCCGUGGGCGCUGGAGAACUGAGGGGGGCUGCUCCUAGUACGAGAGGACCGGAGUGGACGCAUCACUGGUGUUCGGGUUGUCAUGCCAAUGGCACUGCCCGGUAGCUAAAUGCGGAAGAGAUAAGUGCUGAAAGCAUCUAAGCACGAAACUUGCCCCGAGAUGAGUUCUCCCUGACUCCUUGA
rnacentral:rRNA from 1 species